rnacentral:lncRNA from 1 species
UUCCAUAUAUCAUCAAGGACUAUCACUUACCUUUUUGGCUAAAAAUGCGAAUAAUUUCAGUUCGAUGUCCUCCUCCCAUUUCACUCAAUCCCCCUCCUCCCUAAUCCUCUUGAACGAUCCCAAAUCCUUUUCAAUCUUUUUCGGAAGAAUCUUUAGUGUAUUGUCCUCUAUGGUCCAGCAAAAACCCCUCUUUCAAGUUUGGCUUCUGAGAGACAUAAACCCAAGCCGAAAACUCAAGUGAGGAUGUCAAAUCACUUGCCACAGGAGUUGUAACACCUUUAAAAUUUUCUCGCAGAGUUUUUUUACCCAGACCUGGCAUACCAACAAUAGAAAUCAACGUCGAAACGUAAUCUCCAUUGUGAAGCUUUGGUCACCAAUUCUUUGACGUGUUUGUCAAAACCAACAACAUAGGGUUCACAUCAACAUGAGCGACCUGUCCGUCUCGCAUCCCAUUGUCCUCUUCCACACCUGCUGGCUGUCUUCAUGAAUCCCAUAAGUUAGCCUCAACACGCUGAUGUUCUCCGACCUUUCUUUUGAUUCCCUUUCACCCUCCACAACAAAAUUGGACAGUGUAAGUAAUAACCUUCAAGAUGCCUUAAGACGCUAAAAAUCCCCUUCCUCCUGUGUGUGUUAUCUGAGGGAAGUUAAGUGUCCAUUAUGUCCUCCACAUCAUAAGCAAGGUCUCUAAUAUCAAUCACCAAGCGGGUGAUUUUUCUAUUUUGGCCUUGCUUGGUAUCUGCAUCUUCCAAGUAGGAUUGAAUAUGUCCAAUCUCACUCUCGAUCCAAAGAAUCCCUUCUUUCAAUCGAGACAAGCGAGAGCCUUCAUCAACGACGAGAUUACCGAGCACACCUACAGUUUGUCUGAGCACCGAGGUAGCGCCAAUAAGAGCAAUUUCGGCCAUGUUUGCUUCUACGACGACAAUUCUAUAGAAAGAGAAUCCACCGAAAAUAACAACCUUGGGCAGAACUUCAAAAAAACAAAGAGAUAUGGAUCUCUCCCUUGAGGAGGAGUCGGUUUAUUAAGUCAACCACAACCACAAUUAUUUACUCCCUGAUGGUCCUACAACAACAGGAAUUAUUUACUCCACAAUUAUUCACUACUUAUCAUGUAAAAUAGCAAUACAAAAGUUAUAAUUUAGCAUGCUACAAUAUCAUGAUGCUAAAUUAAAAAUGUAUCCUUGUUGAAUUUUAGAUCUCAGAUGAAUAGAUCAUCCAUGAAUUUUAGAUCUUAGAUUGAUCAAUCAUUGGUAACUUACAUGAUUAAAUCACAUUUCUCGUGCAUAAAAUGGACAAAAAGUAUAAUCUUGAAAAUAAAGUGGUAUGAUAAAACGGCUCUCUAUAUCCGAUCAACCUAAUAUUUUUUACAUGACUAAUUUACUCAGUAACCUCUACAAAGUGAAUGAUUCGGAUACUGUGUUGAACCUUAUGCGAGACAGAGACCAAGAGAGUUGACCAUGAAGACAUCAAAAGAUCAAUUGGAAACCUUUUUAUUGAAAACAGUACUAAGUUAUAAAUUUACAAGUUUUGGUUAGGGUGUUGUACCUGAAUCGAGAAUCAUCGGCGAUCGAAGGACGUUGUAGAUGGGGAAACCAUAAACCGACUACAAAUACAAUGAUGAAAGGUUGAAAAAGUUGGUGAAAUCGGUGUAGGGUUGAUGAACUAUGCUGUGGAUGAGACGGUGGUUGUGUGGCCUGGACGGGGGAGGAGAUGGUGGUUCAAGGCAGCGGCAAGGGCGGAAAAUUGGGUUUCGACGGCGUUUUGUGGGUCAACGACUCAACAACGGCAGUUGUAAACAAAAGAUAGGUGCUUUACUCAAUAAUAAUGUUGGUUUGAAAAUUGUGCUUUUCGGGGCAAUAGUUAGUGUCAAUUUUACUUUUAUACCUUCAGGUUUGACUCAAGUUUUACUUUAGUUCUUAUAGUUUGAAUUCGAACAAUGUACAUCCUUACAAUUUUAAAUCAGUUGCAAUGUUAAUUGUAAUCAACUGUAUUAGAUUUUUGGAUGGAAAAGUAGAAUGAUAAAGGCUAAAGUAAAACUUGUGUCAAACUAAAAAGGGGUGGAAGGAAAAUUAAUUCUUCUAUUUACUUUUAAGAAUUUUUUGAGCUUGCAAAAAAUUAUAUUAAAAUAAAUUGUUCAUUGCAUAAUGUCAUGUAAAAUGUACAUCCUUUCUAAACAUGUUGAUCGAUGCUUUUAGGACACUUAUUAAAAAAAAUAAUUGUACAUUCUGUAUGAGAAUGCGUAUAAUGUGUAAUGUGCAAUUAAGUUGCAUAAAUGUAAACUGACGACGAGUUCGAACUUAAGGGAGUUUAAAAAGUUAGGAUUUAGUUUAUUUAAAUUAAAAACUAAGAGUUUAAUUUGUUACCAAUGUCAAAUCCUGAAAUUAUAUCUGUAAUUUACUUUAUGAAUAUUUUUUGGGUUGUUCUUUAUUCGAAUCUAAAAAAUAUAAUAUUUUUUAUAUAAUUAAAAAAAAUUGUGUUUUACAUGAAAAUAAUUUAUUUUUUA